rnacentral:snoRNA from 1 species
UUGCCUGAUGAACUCAAAAUUCGCUGUGUUCUUCCUGAGUUUUCAUUGAAGAAACAAAUUUGAUUCACCUUGGAGAACUGAGCA